ensembl:snoRNA
CAUUAGCUGAUGUUUACUGCAGGCUGUGUUCAUAAUUCUGGUGCACAGGAAGAGGAGAUAGUGAGAACUUACCCCAUGCACACCUUAGCCCAGACCCUGUUCCUGAUCUGCAUGAAUAGGGAGCAUGG